UCAUACAACUGAGGUGCGAAGGCUGUCGCUGACCUUCAGAGGUCGUGCACGCCCAAGUGCCUCUCACAUCCAUCUCACCCCUUUGUGCACUGCCGCGUGGGUCCCCCAUUUUUUUUUUUUUUUGGGGAGCCUGCGUUUUAACAUAAAACUCGAUAUGGUGUAGAAUGUCUUCUCUUUUGCGAUUACACGCAAUCAAUA
rnacentral:misc_RNA from 1 species